AGUGAACGCUGGCGGCGUGCCUAAUACAUGCAAGUCGAACGGAGUGGCGCACGGGUGAGUAAUGUAUCGCUAAUCUGCCCUACACUAGAGGACAACAGUUGGAAACGACUGCUAAUACUCUAUAGUGUAGGAUGAGGCUAUAUUGUAUCAACUAGUUGGUGAGGUAAUGGCUCACCAAGGCUAUGACGCAUAACUGGUCUGAGAGGAUGAUAAGUCACACUGUAACGGAGACACGGUCCAGACUCCUACGGGAGGGAGCAGAAGGGAAGAUUGCUAAAUGGGGGGAACCCUGAAGGAGUAACGCCGCGUGGAGGAUGACACUUUUCGGAGAGUAAACUCGUUUUGUUAUGGAAGCGGUACCUAACGAGUAAGCACCGGCUAACUCCGUGCCAGCAGCCGCGGUAAUAC
rnacentral:rRNA from 1 species